AUUGAACGCUGGCGGCAGGCCUAACACAUGCAAGUCGAACGGUAACAGGAAGAAGCUUGCUUCUUUGCUGACGAGUGGCGGACGGGUGAGUAAUGUCUGGGAAACUGCCUGAUGGAGGGGGAUAACUACUGGAAACGGUAGCUAAUACCGCAUAACGUCGCAAGACCAAAGAGGGGGACCUUCGGGCCUCUUGCCAUCGGAUGUGCCCAGAUGGGAUUAGCUAGUAGGUGGGGUAACGGCUCACCUAGGCGACGAUCCCUAGCUGGUCGGAGAGGAUGACCAGCCACACUGGAACUGAGACACGGUCCAGACUCCUACGGGAGGCAGCAGUGGGGAAUAUUGCACAAUGGGCGCAAGCCUGAUGCAGCCAUGCCGCGUGUAUGAAGAAGGCCUUCGGGUUGUAAAGUACUUUCAGCGGGGAGGAAGGGAGUAAAGUUAAUACCUUUGCUCAUUGACGUUACCCGCAGAAGAAGCACCGGCUAACUCCGUG
rnacentral:rRNA from 1 species